AUAAUAAAUUUGUUACUAAGCCUUUAAAUAAAAGUUUAAGAGUCAAAGUAGGACUACUGGAUACUGGCGUCACAAAUCUGGGGACGUGAAUCGGCGAUCGGGCCUCCGGAUCUCAGAUCUUAAACGGGCGUGGGCGGCUAUAUGUCCGUCCGGUCGUAUAGCAAUGAAUGAAAAAUUCUGUUUAUAGACCAGACAAGUGGAGGCAUGGGUGGACGAGGGGAAAUCAGACAGGAGACCUAUUACCGACUCAUUCAUGUGCUGAUCGAAGUGGCGGCGGCCAACCGAUUUGUACAAAUCUACGUCCAACCCUCCC